AGUGAACGCUGGCGGUAGGCCUAACACAUGCAAGUCGAACGGCAGCACAGGAGAGCUUGCUCUCUGGGUGGCGAGUGGCGGACGGGUGAGGAAUACAUCGGAAUCUACUCUGUCGUGGGGGAUAACGUAGGGAAACUUACGCUAAUACCGCAUACGACCUACGGGUGAAAGCAGGGGAUCUUCGGACCUUGCGCGAUUGAAUGAGCCGAUGUCGGAUUAGCUAGUUGGCGGGGUAAAGGCCCACCAAGGCGACGAUCCGUAGCUGGUCUGAGAGGAUGAUCAGCCACACUGGAACUGAGACACGGUCCAGACUCCUACGGGAGGCAGCAGUGGGGAAUAUUGGACAAUGGGCGCAAGCCUGAUCCAGCCAUACCGCGUGGGUGAAGAAGGCCUUCGGGUUGUAAAGCCCUUUUGUUGGGAAAGAAAUCCAGCUGGCUAAUACCCGGUUGGGAUGACGGUACCCAAAGAAUAAGCACUGGCUAACUUCGUGCCAGCAGCCGCGGUAAUACGAAGGGUGCAAGUGUUACUCGGAAUUACUGGGCGUAAAGCGUGCGUAGGUGGUCGUUUAAGUCCGUUGUGAAAGCCCUGGGCUCAACCUGGGAACUGCAGUGGAUACUGGGCGACUAGAGUGUGGUAGAGGGUAGCGGAAUUCCUGGUGUAGCAGUGAAAUGCGUAGAGAUCAGGAGGAACA
rnacentral:rRNA from 1 species